AUUGAACGCUAGCGGGAGGCUUAACACAUGCAAGUCGAGCGAGCGGCGGACGGGUGAGUAAUGUAUCGGAACCUGCCCGAUAGCGGGGGAUAACUACUGGAAAGGGUGGCUAAUACCGCAUACUAUAGGAUGAGCCGAUAUCGGAUUAGCUAGUAGGUGGGGUAAAGGCUCACCAAGGCGACGAUCCCUAGCUGGUCUGAGAGGAUGACCAGCCACACUGGGACUGAGACACGGCCCAGACGCCUACGGGAGGCAGCAGUGGGGAAUAUUGGACAAUGGGCGAAACCCUGAUGCAGCCAUCCCGCGUGUAUGAUGAAGGCCUUCGGGUUGUAAAGUACUUUUAGCAGGGAGGCGGUACCCGCAGAAGAAGCACCGGCUAACUCCGUGCCAGCAGCCGCGGUAAUUC
rnacentral:rRNA from 1 species